GGCGUGCUGGCGCAAUGGUAGCGCGCAGACCUCCUAAGUCUGAGGCUCAGGGUUCGAGUCCCUGGUACGUCG
rfam:Trichoderma gamsii strain T6085 Scaffolds0029.1, whole genome shotgun sequence.